GGUGAACGCUGGCGGCGUGCCUAAUACAUGCAAGUCGAGCGAACAGACGAGGAGCUUGCUCCUCUGACGUUAGCGGCGGACGGGUGAGUAACACGUGGAUAACCUACCUAUAAGACUGGGAUAACUUCGGGAAACCGGAGCUAAUACCGGAUAAUAUAUUGAACCGCAUGGUUCAAUAGUGAAAGACGGUUUUGCUGUCACUAUUGAUGGAUCCGCGCCGCAGUAGCUAGUUGGUAAGGUAACGGCUUACCAAGGCGACGAUGCGUAGCCGACCUGAGAGGGUGAUCGGCCACACUGGAACUGAGACACGGUCCAGACUCCUACGGGAGGCAGCAGUAGGGAAUCUUCCGCAAUGGGCGAAAGCCUGACGGAGCAACGCCGCGUGAGUGAUGAAGGUCUUCGGAUCGUAAAACUCUGUUAUUAGGGAAGAACAAAUGUGUAAGUAACUAUGCACGUCUUGACGGUACCUAAUCAGAAAGCCACGGCUAACUACGUG
rnacentral:rRNA from 1 species